CCUACGGGAGGCUGCAGUAGGGAAUCUUUCACAAUGGGCGAAAGCCUGAUGGCGCAACGCCGCGUGCAGGAUGAAGGCCUUCGGGUUGUAAACUGCUUUUAUAAGCGAGAAAUAUGAUGGUAACUUAUGAAUAAGGAUCGGCUAACUACGUGCCAGCAGCCGCGGUCAUACGUAGGAUCCGAGCAUUAUCCGGAGUGACUGGGUGUAAAGAGUUGCGUAGGUGGCAUAAUAAGUAGCUAGUGAAAUCUGGUGGCUCAACCAUUCAGACUAUUAGCUAAACUGUUAAGCGCGAGACCGUUAGGGGUAACUGGAAUUUCGAGUGUAGGAGUGAAAUCCGUAGAUAUUAGAAGGAACACCAAUAGCGUAGGCAGGUUACUGGGACGGUUCUGACACUAAGGCACGAAAGCGUAGGGAGCAAACGGGAUUAGAUACCCGUGUAGUC
rnacentral:rRNA from 1 species